CCUACGGGUGGCAGCAGUGAGGAAUAUUGGUCAAUGGACGAGAGUCUGAACCAGCCAAGUAGCGUGAAGGAUGACUGCCCUAUGGGUUGUAAACUUCUUUUAUAUGGGAAUAAAAUGUUCCACGUGUGGGAUUUUGUAUGUACCAUAUGAAUAAGGAUCGGCUAACUCCGUGCCAGCAGCCGCGGUAAUACGGAGGAUCCGAGCGUUAUCCGGAUUUAUUGGGUUUAAAGGGAGCGUAGGUGGAUUGUUAAGUCAGUUGUGAAAGUUUGCGGCUCAACCGUAAAAUUGCAGUUGAAACUGGCAGUCUUGAGUACAGUAGAGGUGGGCGGAAUUCGUGGUGUAGCGGUGAAAUGCUUAGAUAUCACGAAGAACUCGGAUUGCGAAGGCAGUUCACUGGACUGCAACUGACACUGAGGCUCGAAAGUGUGGGUAUCAAACAGGAUUAGAUACCCUAGUAGUC
rnacentral:rRNA from 1 species